UACGGGAGGCAGCAGUGGGGAAUUUUCCGCAAUGGGCGCAAGCCUGACGGAGCAAUACCGCGUGAGGGAUGACGGCCCUUGGGUUGUAAACCUCUUUUAUCAAGGAGGAAGUUCUGACGUGUACUUGAUGAAUAAGCAUCGGCUAACUCCGUGCCAGCAGCCGCGGUAAGACGGAGGAUGCAAGUGUUAUCCGGAAUCACUGGGCGUAAAGCGUCUGUAGGUGGUUCGAAAAGUCCACUGUUAAAAAUUGAGGCUUAACUUCAAAGAUGCCGUGGAAACUUUCAAACUAGAGUAUGGUAGGGGUAGAGGGAAUUUCCAGUGGAGCGGUGAAAUGAGUAGAUAUUGGAAAGACCACCGAUGGCGAAGGCACUCUACUGGGCCAUUACUGACACUCAGAGACGAAAGCUAGGGGAGCAAAUGGGCAUUAGAUACCCCAGUAGUCCUAGCUGUAAACGAAUGGAUACUAGAUGUUGUGUGUAUUGACCCAUGCAGUAUCGUAGCUAGCGCGUUAAGUAUCCCCGACCUGGAAGUA
rnacentral:rRNA from 1 species